UAACAUGUUGAUCCUAGUGGCCAAGUAAUCCCCCUCCUAAGGGGAAGGUCGCCCGUUCGAAUCGGGCCGGGGUCACCA
rnacentral:tRNA from 2 species